rnacentral:rRNA from 1 species
CAUGAAGUUGGAAUCGCUAGUAAUCGCGGAUCAGCAUGCCGCCGGUGAAUACGUUCCCGGGCCUUGUACACACCGCCCGUCACACCAUGAGAGUCGGGAACACCCGAAGUCCGUAGCCUGACCGCAAGGGGGCGCGGCCGAAGGUGGGUUCGAUAAUUGGGGUGAAGUCGUAACAAGGUAGC